rfam:Paenibacillaceae bacterium GAS479 genome assembly, chromosome: I
CAUAGCAUGCAUGGGUGCUCGAUUAAGUCGGGCUGAGACUGCGGCCGUAUGCCGCUGACCAUUGAUCUGAUCUGGGUAAUGCCAGCGUAGAGAGAAUGCAUCGCGCACGC